GACGAACGCUGGCGGCGUGCUUAACACAUGCAAGUCGAGCGGUAAGGCCCUUUCGGGGGUACACGAGCGGCGAACGGGUGAGUAACACGUGGGUGACCUGCCCUUAGCUCUGGGAUAAGCCUGGGAAACUGGGUCUAAUACCGGAUAUGACCUCAUGACGCAUGUUGUGGGGUGGAAAGCCUUGUGCGGCUAGGGAUGGGCCCGCGGCCUAUCAGCUUGUUGGUGGGGUNAUGGCCACCAAGGCGACGACGGGUAGCCGGCCUGAGAGGGCGACCGGCCACACUGGGACUGAGACACGGCCCAGACUCCUACGGGAGGCAGCAGUGGGGAAUCUUGCGCAAUGGGCGAAAGCCUGACGCAGCGACGCCGCGUGAGGGAUGAC
rnacentral:rRNA from 1 species